rnacentral:rRNA from 1 species
AUUGAACGCUGGCGGCAUGCCUUACACAUGCAAGUCGAACGGUAACAGGUCUUCGGAUGCUGACGAGUGGCGAACGGGUGAGUAAUACAUCGGAACGUGCCUAGUAGUGGGGGAUAACUACUCGAAAGAGUGGCUAAUACCGCAUGAGAUCUACGGAUGAAAGCAGGGGAUCGCAAGACCUUGUGCUACUAGAGCGGCCGAUGGCAGAUGAGGUAGUUGGUGGGAUAAAAGCUUACCAAGCCGACGAUCUGUAGCUGGUCUGAGAGGACGAUCAGCCACACUGGGACUGAGACACGGCCCAGACUCCUACGGGAGUCAGCAGUGGGGAAUUUUGGACAAUGGGCGCAAGCCUGAUCCAGCAAUGCCGCGUGCAGGAUGAAGGCCUUCGGGUUGUAAACUGCUUUUGUACGGAACGAAAAGCCCUGGGUUAAUACCCUGGGGUCAUGACGGUACCGUAAGAAUAAGCACCGGCUAACUACGUGCCAGCAGCCGCGGUAACAC